GACGUAGGGUGCAAGCGUUGUCCGGAUUUACUGGGCGUAAAGAGCGCGUAGGCGGCUCGUUAAGUGUGAAGUGAAAUCUCUAGGGCUCAACCCAGAAACUGCUUUACAUACUGGCGAGCUGGAGUGAUGCAGAGGUUUGUGGAAUUCCUGGUGUAGCGGUGAAAUGCGCAGAUAUCAGGAAGAACACCCGUGGCGAAGGCGGCUCUCUGGGACGGUACUGACGCUGAGACGCGAAAGCGUGGGGAGCGAACAGG
rnacentral:rRNA from 1 species